GACGAACCGUGCGAACGUUGUUCGGAAUCACUGGGCUUAAAGGGCGCGUAGGCGGGCAUUCAAGUCAGGGGUGAAAUCCCCCAGCUCAACUGGGGAACUGCCUUUGAUACUGGGUGCCUCGAGUAAGGUAGGGGCAUGCGGAGCUGAUGGUGGAGCGGUGAAAUGUGUUGAUAUCAUCAGGAACUCCGGUGGCGAAGGCGGCAUGCUGGACCUUCACUGACGCUGAGGCGCGAAAGCUAGGGGAGCGAACGGG
rnacentral:rRNA from 1 species